rnacentral:rRNA from 1 species
UACGUAGGCAGCAAGCGUUGUUCGGAGUUACUGGGCGUAAAGGGUGUGUAGGCGGUCCCUUAAGUUUGGUGUGAAAUCUCCCGGCUCAACUGGGAGGGUGCGCCGGAUACUGAGGGGCUAGAGUGCGGGAAGGGAAAGUGGAAUUCCUGGUGUAGCGGUGAAAUGCGUAGAUAUCAGGAGGAACACCGGUGGUGUAAACGGCUUUCUGGACCAUAACUGACGCUGAGGCACGAAAGCGUGGGGAGCAAACAGG